AUGCCCCAGUUCAUCUACAAGACCAACCUUACUAUGCUGCAAAAUCGAAAGACACCCCAGUGUGACGUGCAGCUGGAGGAGUCUGGGGGAGACCUGGUGAAGCCUGGGGGGUCCCUGAGACUCACCUGUGUGGCCUCUGGAUUCACCUUCAGUAGCUACUACAUGAACUGGGUUCGCCAGGCUCCAGGGAAGGGGCUGCAGUGGGUCGCACGCAUUUAUGCUGAUGGAAGUAGUACAAACUACGCAGACUCCGUGAAGGGCCGAUUCACCAUCUCCAGAGACAACGCCAAGAACACGCUGUAUCUGCAGAUGAACAGCCUCAAGACCGAGGACACGGCCACAUAUUACUGUGCAAGAGACACGGUGAGGGGACCUCACUGGGAGCCCACACGCAAACCUCCCUGCAGGAGGGCAUCCGCACCACCAGGGGGCGCACACUAG